rnacentral:sRNA from 1 species
GUUCAAUAGUUUUUUUUUGGUUUUGGUUAAAAAAGAGUGUUGAAUAGUUCUA